CCUCCCUGUGAUCGCGGAGAACUCUCACGUGUGCAGGAGCCAGAGGAGGCGGGCAAGCGCUACUAGGCUACUAGCUGAGAAGAGAGCUUGGCAAGAGUUGCUUUGGCCGAAAUAAGUAAAAUAUGCAGACCGAACCGUCGCUCAUGUGGGAUGAGCAGAAGGCCUAUGAGGAACUCUUAUACUGGGAUAGUUUGAUUCAAGAUGGUCAUCGACUACACCCUCAUGAUUUUGACAGGUAUGAGGACCUGCGUUACUGGUACGACUGCCUGUUCUAUGAAGAGGAGCUCAGAAAGUACAAUGAGUACAUUGCAGCCCUUCAUGAGCAAGAGAAUCAGCAUGUUUAUGCCCCAC